rnacentral:ncRNA from 2 species
UGCUUAUAGAGAAAGAUGGAGGGAUUAGACCCUGCGAUGUCUUAGCAACCUGUGCUUCACAAGGUGCUACAUUCUACUUAACCAGCUUCAAAAAUCGGUUAGGAAAGAUAAGCG